AUAUUUACCUGGUUGGGGAGGCACCAUGAUCACGAAGGUGGUUUUCCCAGGGUGAGGCUUACCCAUUGUAUUCCAGAUGUGCUGAGCCCUGCGAUUUCCCCAAAUGUGGGAAACUCGACUGCAGAGUUUGUGAUAGUGAGGGGACUGCAUUUGCAACUA
rnacentral:snRNA from 1 species